rnacentral:rRNA from 1 species
UACAGAGGUCCCAAGCGUUGUUCGGAUUCACUGGGCGUAAAGGGUGCGUAGGUGGUCGGGUAAGUCUGAUGUGAAAUCUCUGGGCUCAACUCAGAAACUGCAUUGGAUACUAUCUGGCUAGAGGAGUGGAGGGGGGACUGGAAUACUUGGUGUAGCAGUGAAAUGCGUAGAUAUCAAGUGGAACACCAGUGGCGAAGGCGAGUCCCUGGACACUUCCUGACACUGAGGCACGAAAGCUAGGGGAGCAAACAGG